UACGUAGGGUGCAAGCGUUAUCCGGAAUUAUUGGGCGUAAAGAGCUCGUAGGCGGUUUGUCGCGUCUGCUGUGAAAACUGGAGGCUCAACCUCCAGCCUGCAGUGGGUACGGGCAAACUAGAGUGCGGUAGGGGAGAUUGGAAUUCCUGGUGUAGCGGUGAAAUGCGCAGAUAUCAGGAGGAACACCGGUGGCGAAGGCGGGUCUCUGGGCCGAUAUUGACGCUGAGGAGCGAAAGCGUGGGGAGCAAACAGG
rnacentral:rRNA from 1 species